rnacentral:rRNA from 1 species
UACAGAGGGUGCAAGCGUUAAUCGGAAUUACUGGGCGUAAAGCGCGCGUAGGCGGCUGCUUAAGUCGGAUGUGAAAUCCCCGGGCUUAACCUGGGAACUGCAUUCGAUACUGAGCAGCUAGAGUAUGAGAGAGGGAGGUAGAAUUCCACGUGUAGCGGUGAAAUGCGUAGAUAUGUGGAUGAAUACCGGUGGCGAAGGCGGCCUCCUGGCUUAAUACUGACGCUGAGGUGCGAAAGCUUGGGGAGCAAACAGG